CACCGAUUUUUGAAAACCGGUGGCUUAAAAAAUGGGCGGGAUAGGCUAAUUCACAUUGCCACCGGUUCAAACCGAACCGGUGGCAAAAAUGGUAAAGGCCACCGGUUUGAACCCGUGGCAAUAAUCAAUUAAAAAAAAAAAAAAACGCCCCCCUUAUAAACCCCAAUCCCUACCUCAUUCCCCUCUUAUUUCUCUUUCAAUUCGUCUUCUCUGUUCUCAUCUCCUUUUCUUCAAUCUCCUUCUUCGAUCUCCUCCUUCUCCUUCUCUUGCUCUUCUCCUUCGUCUCCUUCUCCCUCUUCUCGUCUCCUUCUCCUUCGAUCUCCUCGUCUCCUUCUCUUUCAUUUCCACCAUCACCAAGACCACCACCGCAACAAUAAACCACGAAGACAUGCACCACGAAGAUAUGCACUAGGUAUAUUGAUUUAGAUGUAGAUGUUAAAUCGAAGAAUAAAGAUGCAGGAUUAUUGAUUUAGGUGUUCUAUGGGUUGUUUUUUAAUUUUAAUGUUGUAAUUUUUUUUGGUUUUUUAUUGUAAAUUUUUUUUUUUUUGAUUUUAAUGUUGGAAUUUUAGUUUUGUGUAAUUUGAUUAAUUUAGUUCUUUUGAAUUGGAAUUGUUGUAUGAGUAAUUUAGUUGUAGUUAUUAAUUUAGUUUUUUCACUCUUAAAAAUUGUAUAAUUACUAGAUACUGAUGAAUAUAUAUGUGUUUUUAUGUAUUUUACAUAUAUGUAUAGUUUCUACUACAAUUUAAGUGAAAUAAAUGCAAUUUUUUUUUUUUUG